rnacentral:sRNA from 1 species
AAAAUAUGUAGUAGAAUUGAUUAUUUUCUUAACUCUUUGAGUACAUUAUUUUGUCGUAGAACUGUACUGAUUGUGAACAUUAUUCUUAACUCUCUGAGAACUCUAUGUUGGGUUUUGUUUUUCUUAGAAAAAAUUGGCAAUGGAUUGGGCCUCCACUUGAAACUACAAAUCAGUCGUUUCAAGACAAAGAGAUCUUUAUCGUAUAAGUGUAUCAUAUGUAUAACCAAACAAGAAUCAACAAUAAAAUAAAGAUCAAACUGUUGCUACAUAUAAAAUUGUAAAAUACACAUCUUAUUGCAUCAUCUGGUUCUUAUUUCAAUAUUUCAUAUCCAAUGAACACCAUUCCGUAUCAGAUGUUUUUUUCACAAUUUUGUGACUGAACCCAAUAAAGAAAGGUUUGCGUCUGAACCAUAAGCAUCUUUAGAAUUUGCGGUUGAACCGGCUUACGCAAUUUGGGUUGUAAUCUUAUCUUGAGAACAUUUCUUGGAUAUAAUUUGCGGCAAAAGAAAAAAUGGAUAUUUCGUUCGCAUUAUCGACAACACAAAUGAGUAGGACGUUAUCGACGGCAUCAAUAAGCGUUGAACAUCUUUUCUGACAAGUUGUAGACAAAAUGAAGGCUAAGAUUAUGAGAACAUUUUUUCUAGAAAGAAUAUUAACAUUUUUCGUAAGAUUUUUACGGAUAACAUUAAUUUGUUUUAUAAUCAAAGCAAUAUAUGUAAUUAAUGAGUAUGAGUUUUUAUGAU